CUACGGGGUGCUGCAGUGAGGAAUAUUGCACAAUGGGGGGAACCCUGAUGCAGCAACGCCGCGUGGAGGAUGACGCAUUUCGGUGUGUAAACUCCUUUUAUAUGUCAAGAAAAUGACGGUAGCAUAUGAAUAAGCACCGGCUAACUCCGUGCCAGCAGCCGCGGUAAUACGGAGGGUGCAAGCGUUACUCGGAAUCACUGGGCGUAAAGGACGCGUAGGCGGGUUGGAAAGUCAGGUGUGAAAUCCUACAGCUUAACUGUAGAGCUGCACUUGAAACUUCUAAUCUAGAGUAUGGGAGGGGGAGAUGGAAUUAGUGGUGUAGGGGUAAAAUCCGUAGAUAUCACUAGGAAUACCUAAAGCGAAGGCGAUCUCCUGGAACAUUACUGAUGCUAAGGCGUGAAAGCGUGGGGAGCAAACAGGAUUAGAUACCCUCGUAGUC
rnacentral:rRNA from 1 species